rnacentral:sRNA from 1 species
UAAUUCCAUCAUAAGGGAAGUCUAGGUC